rnacentral:rRNA from 1 species
GACGAACGCUGGCGGCGUGCUUAACACAUGCAAGUCGAGCGAGGCACCUCCUUCGGGAGGGUGUCCUAGCGGCGAACGGGCGUGUCACCCGUGGGCAACCUGACCUCAGCUCUGGGAUAACUCCGGGAGACCCGGGCUAAUACCGGACACGACCUCCACGGGCAUGUGCGGAGGCGGAAAGUUUUGCGGCCGCGGCUGGGCCCGCGGCCUAUCAGCUAGUGGGGGGGGUAGUGGCCCACCAAGGCGGCGACGGCUAGCCGGCCUGAGGUGGCGACCGGCCACGCUGGGACUGAGGCACGCCCCAGACUCCUACGAGAGCCAGCAGUGAGCAGUAUUGCGCAAGGCGCGCAAGCCUGGCGCAGCGCCGCCGCGUGAGGGACGCAGCCCUCCGCUUUGUAAACCUCGUGCACCCGGGCCGAAGUGAAAGUCACGGUACCUGCAGAAGAAUCACCGCCCAACUACGUG